AACGUAGGAGGCGAGCGUUAUCCGGAUUUACUGGGCGUAAAGCGUGUGCAGGUGGUUUGGUAAGUUGGAUGUGAAAGCUCCUGGCUUAACUGGGAGAGGUCGUUCAAUACUGCCAGACUUGAGAGUGAGAGAGGGAGGUGGAAUUCCGGGUGUAGUGGUGAAAUGCGUAGAUAUCCGGAGGAACACCAGUGGCGAAAGCGGCCUCCUGGCUCAUUUCUGACACUCAUACACGAAAGCUAGGGUAGCAAAC
rnacentral:rRNA from 1 species